AUACUUACCUGGACGGGGUCAAUGGGCGAUCAGUAAGGUCUAUGGCCAAGGUUGGUGGUUUUCAUUGCACUCGAAAAGUGCACCUGCCUAAGGUCUCCUCAAGUGAGAGAGAGCCUAUGUCAUUAUUUGUGGCAGUGGGGAUCUGCGUUCGCGCGGCCCCUUC